UUGACCUCGGAUCAGGUAGGGAUACCCGCUGAACUUAAGCAUAUCAAUAAGCGGAGGAAAAGAAACCAACAGGGAUUGCCCCAGUAACGGCGAGUGAAGCGGCAAGAGCUCAAAUUUGAAAGCUGGCUCCUUCGGGGUCC
rnacentral:rRNA from 1 species